AGCCAAGUCAAGUCAAGCAUGCCAGGAAGGAGUGUACUCACUGCUGAGCAUGUUUUCAAGAUUGUAGAGUAAAAUAUGGAAUCUCUGAAUCUGACUGACUCUUUUGCUGUAGACCCCACGUAAUUGAAAUUAUGAUGCCUUAUCCACAAAAUGAGCAACAAUGGAUUGGAAUCCUGAAUUAGUAAAGUCUUUUCUAGUUAUAGGUGUCAUCGCUGGUAUGAGUUAAAAGUUGGGUGUGAAAACCAGGUAACUUCUACUGAGUUAUUUGCUGAUUGGCACCAGUAUAAAAGAUCACCUUAAAAUGCAUAAGGUUACUGGAUUUGUGACUGGAUGUCGAACUUAACAAUGUAUGGAUCUGUAAAAUGAAAUCUAUGACAUUUAAACUGUUUGUUCAUUUGUCGGCGCUAUGCUGUUUAAAGUUUAUUUGGACCCAUCUGUUGUUCCUGAAUCUCCAUAGGUCUUUCAUGGUGCAGAAUAGAAUUCUUUAAAUGCUAAGGAACGUUUCAAAAGUUGACGAGGCUGUUACCUUAAAACCGAUAACGAAAUGAUAAAUGAGGUGACAGGGACCCGUGAAGUCGUUAAUUUAAUCGUCUGCGUGUUGUCUAGCCCAUGCAAGUGUGUAACGAGGUAAGCCGCGUAGCUGUUAAGCUCGUUCAGGUUAUAUUUUAAGAAUUCGAAU